rnacentral:rRNA from 1 species
UACGUAGGGUGCGAGCGUUGUCCGGAAUUAUUGGGCGUAAAGAGCUCGUAGGCGGUCUGUCGCGUCUGCUGUGAAAUCCCGGGGCUCAACUCCGGGCUUGCAGUGGAUACGGGCAGACUAGAGUUCGGUAGGGGAGACUGGAAUUCCUGGUGUAGCGGUGAAAUGCGCAGAUAUCAGGAGGAACACCGGUGGCGAAGGCGGGUCUCUGGGCAGUAACUGACGCUGAGGAGCGAAAGCGUGGGGAGCGAACAGG